rnacentral:rRNA from 1 species
ACGGGUGAGUAAUGCCUAGGAAUCUGCCUGGUAGUGGGGGACAACGUUUCGAAAGGAACGCUAAUACCGCAUACGUCCUACGGGAGAAAGCAGGGGACCUUCGGGCCUUGCGCUAUCAGAUGAGCCUAGGUCGGAUUAGCUAGUUGGUGAGGUAAUGGCUCACCAAGGCGACGAUCCGUAACUGGUCUGAGAGGAUGAUCAGUCACACUGGAACUGAGACACGGUCCAGACUCCUACGGGAGGCAGCAGUGGGGAAUAUUGGACAAUGGGCGAAAGCCUGAUCCAGCCAUGCCGCGUGUGUGAAGAAGGUCUUCGGAUUGUAAAGCACUUUAAGUUGGGAGGAAGGGUUGUAGAUUAAUACUCUGCAAUUUUGACGUUACCGACAGAAUAAGCACCGGCUAACUCUGUGCCAGCAGCCGCGGUAAUACAGAGGGUGCAAGCGUUAAUCGGAAUUACUGGGCGUAAAGCGCGCGUAGGUGGUUCGUUAAGUUGGAUGUGAAAUCCCCGGGCUCAACCUGGGAACUGCAUUCAAAACUGUCGAGCUAGAGUAUGGUAGAGGGUGGUGGAAUUUCCUGUGUAGCGGUGA